AUAUCUUUCUUGGCCUUUUGGCUAAGACAAAGUGUAGUGUCUGCAGUUUAAUAUCUGCUAUGUGGGCCAUAUGUCCACUUUAAUUUUAUUUUUUUAUUGGAAGGGUCCAACUUUAAUCUUAAAUUUGAUUUUUGUGGGGCGGGUCCAUCACACUGGGUUGCCACUGGACCCUUGGGUG
rnacentral:snRNA from 1 species